rnacentral:rRNA from 1 species
AGCGGCGGACGGGUGAGUAACGCGUGGGUAACCUGCCCUAUACACACGGAUAACAUACCGAAAGGUAUGCUAAUACGAGAUAAUAUAAGAGAUUCACAUGGAUUUCUUAUCAAAGCUGAGGCGGUAUAGGAUGGACCCGCGUCUGAUUAGCUAGUUGGUAAGGUAACGGCUUACCAAGGCGACGAUCAGUAGCCGACCUGAGAGGGUGAUCGGCCACAUUGGAACUGAGACACGGUCCAAACUCCUACGGGAGGCAGCAGUGGGGAAUAUUGCACAAUGGGCGAAAGCCUGAUGCAGCAACGCCGCGUGAGUGAUGAAGGCCUUCGGGUCGUAAAACUCUGUCCUCAAGGAAGAUAAUGACGGUACUUGAGGAGGAAGCCCCGGCUAACUACGUGCCAGCAGCCGCGGUAAUACGUAGGGGGCUAGCGUUAUCCGGAUUUACUGGGCGUAAAGGGUGCGUAGGUGGUCUCUUAAGUCAGGAGUGAAAGGCUACGGCUUAACCGUAGUAAGCUCUUGAAACUGGGAAACUUGAGUGCAGGAGAGGAAAGUGGAAUUCCUAGUGUAGCGGUGAAAUGCGUAGAUAUUAGGAGGAACACCAGUAGCGAAGGCGGCUUUCUGGACUGUAACUGACACUGAGGCACGAAAGCGUGGGGAGCAAACAGGAUUAGAUACCCUGGUAGUCCACGCCGUAAACGAUGAGUACUAGGUGU